UACGUAGGUGGCAAGCGUUGUCCGGAUUUACUGGGCGUAAAGGGCGUGCAGGCGGUUUGUUAAGUCUAGGGUGAAAGCUCCCGGCUCAACUGGGAGAGGUCCUUGGAUACUGGCAGACUUGAGGAGAGUAGAGGAGAGUGGAAUUCCCGGUGUAGUGGUGAUAUGCGUAGAUAUCGGGAGGAACACCAGUGGCGAAGGCGGCUCUCUGGGCUCUACCUGACGCUGAGACGCGAAAGCGUGGGGAGCAAACAGG
rnacentral:rRNA from 1 species